GCGUGUGCUAACUGCCCUCAACGCAGCCCCGCUAGGUCCCCCACGUUUGCAUGCUAAGUGUUUCUAUGAGUGCUUGUCCCGCUCUGAUACCAUCUGUCACGGACUUAGCUGGUUUUGCCUAAGUCGUGCGGCACCCUUGCGUGUCCGUCCGCAAAGGUCAGCCUCCCCGAAACCUCCCAUUAUCCCUUAGGACCAACAAAAGAGAGAACGGGUUAGAGAGAACGC
rnacentral:lncRNA from 1 species